rnacentral:rRNA from 1 species
UACGUAGGGGGCAAGCGUUGUCCGGAAUCAUUGGGCGUAAAGAGCGUGUAGGCGGCUUGACAAGUCCGCUGUGAAAGUCCAGGGCUCAACCCUGGAAUGCCAGUGGAAACUAUCAGGCUAGAGUCCGGAAGAGGCGAGUGGAAUUCCUGGUGUAGCGGUGAAAUGCGCAGAUAUCAGGAGGAACACCGAUAGCGAAGGCAGCUCGCUGGGACGGUACUGACGCUGAGAAGCGAAAGCGUGGUGAGCAAACAGG